UUUAAAUGUGAGACUGCAGGUUAACAAUGUCCUCGUUUGCUUCCUGGCUGGGUGGGUGUGGCUGUUUAGAGGUCCAAGGUCGUCUCUCAGUAUUGGCCUGCAACUUGAAGUGUUCAAACUUGGCCCCUGUCAUUAAAGGGGUCAUAUAGUGCAGAUGCUUGGGUUUUGUGUUAAACAUCCUAAAUGUCAAAAUAUUUACUUUUUAAAGAUGCAUCACCUCACUGCUGCAUCUGUUUUCAGGCACCUGGUGACUUAUAUUAGCGCCACACGUUUAUUGGGUCUGGCAGUCAUUUUGUUCUUCUCUUUCAUGAUGCAACCUGUGUUUUGUGGGUGUGUGGGGGUCAGGGUCAUGUUCAGUCUGCAGCUGGUUUAAAAAAAAAAAAAUAACACAGAUGAUCAAAUGUGUUGUGGAGCAAAGUGGAUUUCAUUUUAUUUUUUUAAUUGAGCCGAGCUGUUUUUCCUUUUUCCGCCUGUGCUGAAACAGACACCAGGUUGGUGUCUCUGCAGUAAAUGUGCAAGCGCUCAAGAAAGGCUGAAUGUGUUUUCUGCUACUGACUUGGAAUCCUGUGUGACUGUGGUGGUGACUGAACAGUAGUGUGUGCUUGCAGUGACUGCAUCCAAUGGCCAUCUGCUCUGAUUAAAUAAAUGUUCUAUACAAACUG